AUGGGCCUACGGGGGGCAGCAGUGAGGAAUAUUGGUCAAUGGGAGAGAUCCUGAACCAGCCAAGCCGCGUGAGGGAUGACGGCCCUACGGGUUGUAAACUUCUUUUGUCAGGGAGCAAUUGGGUCCACGCGUGGGCUUAGCGAGAGUACCUGAAGAAAAAGCAUCGGCUAACUCCGUGCCAGCAGCCGCGGUAAUACGGAGGAUGCGAGCGUUAUCCGGAUUUAUUGGGUUUAAAGGGUGCGUAGGCGGAAUAUCAAGUCAGCGGUAAAAAUUCGGGGCUCAACCCCGUCGUGCCGUUGAAACUG
rnacentral:rRNA from 1 species